rnacentral:misc_RNA from 1 species
UUUGCCUUUUGGCUUGAAUUUGUUACUUUUGUUUUUCAUGUGAUUUUUCUUUGUUUAUAUAUCUAGCUCUGGCUAAGAACAUUUUCAUUUUUGUCCAUUCAGAGCGAUUGUGUGCAAAAGAUGCAUAGAUGUGAUCCUGCUACUCUUCCAGAUCCUGAACCAUUCUUUCUUGCCAUGUGAGUGGCAAAGAUUUAGGUCUGAAAUUGACUAUAUUCAAAUUAUCCUAGAAGAAGGCUGUAUUAGAAUAGAUACACGCAAAAAUUUUCUUGUACUCUUAUCCCUGAAUCAGAAUCGCAGAUGUUGCAGUUUUGACAUUGACCGAGGAUUCAAUCCCAUGCCUAUGAAUCUGGAUUAAUUAACAGAUUUUAGGUAGGUUUCUGAGAUGUAGCCAAAAUUCUUGCAAGCAUAGAUAUUUUCCUUUUUUUU